GAGUUUGAUCAUGGCUCAGGAUGAACGCUGGCCGUAUGCCUAACACAUGCAAGUCGUACGAGAGUUUUUAACUCUAGUGGCGGACGGGUGAGUAACACGUGAGAAUUUGCCUUUAGGAGGGGGACAACAAUUGGAAACGAAUGCUAAUACCCCAUAUGCUUUCGAGCGAAAUGGAUUUAUAUUUAUCCGCCUAGAGAGAAGCUCGCGGCUGAUUAGCUUGUUGGUAAGGUAAGAGCUUACCAAGGCGACGAUCAGUAUCUGGUUUGAGAGGACGAUCAGACACACUGGAACUGAGACACGGUCCAGACUCCUACGGGAGGCAGCAGUGGGGAAUUUUCCGCAAUGGGCGAAAGCCUGACGGAGCAAUACAGCGUGAGGGAAGACUGCCUAUGGGUUGUAAACCUCUUUUUUCAGGGAGGAAUAAAUGACGUGUACCUGAAGAAUAAGCAUCGGCUAACUCCGUGCCAGCAGCCGCGGUAAGACGGAGGAUGCAAGUGUUAUCCGGAAUCACUGGGCGUAAAGCGUCUGUAGGUGGUUUAAUAAGUCAACUGUUAAAUCUUGAGGCUCAACUUCAAAAUCGCAGUCGAAACUAUUAGACUAGAGUAUAGUAGAGGUAAAGGGAAUUUCCAGUGGAGCGGUGAAAUGCGUAGAUA
rnacentral:rRNA from 1 species